rnacentral:lncRNA from 1 species
CUACAUAAUGAAAAGGGUAUUUUCAUUGUGGGGAAUAUGAAUGAGCUGACGUGGAACAGGAAGAUGUCCAGCAAAGCUGAAAAGAAAGGCAAAUAUGGGCGCAGAGAGAGGCAUGCGCUUUUCUCUGUCUGGAGGAAUGGAGGGGGCUGGUUGGCAGAGCUCCCUGAACAACACUAAACUUCUGGCCUCUAGUGACCUGUGCGAGAGGCCUACCAAGACCCUCAGUAUCCACAGUAUUGGUACAGUUCUGUCAAGAGUACCCAAGGGAAGUCACAUGGUCACAGAUCUUCCGUUUUGUACAGAUGAGAGAGUUGGUACAGCAAUGGCCAGCUGUGCAGCCUGGGGCAAGCAACUUCCUCUCAGUGCAUCUUGGAUUCCUCCACAUUGGGCACGAAUGCUUCUGAUGGUAUUGGGAUUUGCAGGGAGGAGCCAGGGAUUGGCAAGCAAAGGCCCAGCUCCUCCUUGCCUGUUGCCUGUGACUGACUGUACCACUCAACACCCGAAGGCUCCUGUGUGCAUUUGCCCAAGCAGCUCUUCCAUCCCCUCCAUCCCCUCCAUGGUUCUGCCCCUCUGUGACCCUCUCCUCACCCGAGCCUCAAAGCAGGGGUGGAUGGUUUGAUGUUA